rnacentral:rRNA from 1 species
AGUCGAACGGAUCAGGCAGCAAUGUCUGGUUAGUGGCGAACGGUCGCGUAACACGUAAGCAACCUGCCUCAAAGUGGGGGACAACAGCCCGAAAGGGCUGCUAAUACCGCAUGUGGUCACGACCUGGCAUCAGGUUUUGACUAAAGCCUUCGCAAGGGGGCGCUUUGGGAUGGGCUUGCGGCCUAUCAGGUAGUUGGUGGGGUAACGGCCUACCAAGCCGACGACGGGUAGCUGGUCUGAGAGGACGAUCAGCCGGAUUGGGACUGAGAUACGGCCCAGACUCCUACGGGGGGCAGCAAUUAGGAAUCUUGCGCAAUGGGGGAAACCCUGACGCAGCGACGCCGCGUGCGGGACGAAGGCCUUCGGGUCGUAAACCGCUUUUGACAGGGAAGAAGAAUGUGACGGUACCUGUCGAAUAAGCCCCGGCUAACUACGUGCCAGCAGCCGCGGUAAUACGUAGGGGGCGAGCGUUGUCCGAAGUUACUGGGCGUAAAGCGCGCGUAGGCGGCCAUCUAAGUUCGGGGUGAAAGGUUCAACGCUCAACGUGAACAGUGCCCUGAAUACUGGUUGGCUUGAGUUCGGGAGGGGGCAGUGGAAUUCCGGGUGUAGCGGUGAAAUGCGUAGAUUUCCGGAGGAACACCGAUGGCGAAGGCAGCUGCCUGGCCCAAAACUGACGCUGAAGUGCGAAAGCGUGGGGAGCGAACGGGAUUAGAUACCCCGGUAGUCCACGCCGUAAACGAUGAGUGCUA